rnacentral:misc_RNA from 1 species
AAAAAAAUUUGAAAUUUUGAAAAUUUUUGUUUUGGGGGCUCUAUUUGGAGGGGCUGUGUUUAGGCAGAUAUGGGAUUAGCGGGUUUUCUUGGGUGGCAAAGUUAGAUUAUUUGAUUUAAAGGAUUCUGGUAUAAUAUGGAUCGUUACUUGUAACGAUUACUGUUGUUUCACAAUCCAAUUUGCCGACUUAGCAUUUCUUGAUGUCCUGUUUGAUAAUUGAUAGGAAUUUUGGGCUUUUCCAUUUUUUGAAUUGUUGGUUUACGAGAAGGCAUGAACAGUUUCAUGCGAUUAAAAAUUUAUGUAUUAUCGUGUUGUUAUAUUUUUGCAUUGAAUUUGGUAGAAAAUGGGAUUAUUGCCGGUGAUUAUUAUUCUUAUUGCAUAAUCUCAUGGU